UAGUCAUAUGCUUGUUUAAAAGAUUAAACCAUGCAAGUUUAAGUAUAAGCAAUUAUACCGUGAAACUGCAGAUAGCUCAUUAUAUCAGUUAUAGUUUAUUUGAUUGUACCCCUACUACAUGGAUAACUGUAGUAAUUCUAGAGCUAAUACAUGCCCGGAAACGUUGACCCCUCGGGGAAGAUGCGGACUUAUUAGAUACCUUGCCAACCCGCUUUGGCGUAGCCCUGGUGAAUCAUAAUAAUUUUUCGAAUCGCCCGGCUUUUGGCUGGCGAUGGGUCAUUCAAGUUUUUGCCCUAUCAGCUGUGAUGUUAGUGUAUUGGACUAACAUGGCUAAUACGGGUGACGGAGGAUUAGGGUUUGAUUCCGGAGAGGGAGCCUGAGAAAUGGCUACCCCUUCCAAGGAAGGCAGCAGGCGCGUAAAUUACCCAAUCCCGAUACGGGGAGGUAGUGACAAGAAAUAACAAUACCGAGCUUAUUAUAAGUUUGGUAAUUGGAAUGAAAACAACCUAAAACCUUUAACGAGGACCAAUU
rnacentral:rRNA from 1 species